UACGUAGGGUGCAGGCGUUAAUCGGAAUUACUGGGCGUAAAGCGUGCGCAGGCGGUCUUUUAAGUCAGAUGUGAAAUCCCCGGGCUUAACCUGGGAACUGCGUUUGAAACUGGAAGGCUAGAGUGUGGCAGAGGGGGGUGGAAUUCCACGUGUAGCAGUGAAAUGCGUAGAGAUGUGGAGGAACACCGAUGGCGAAGGCAGCCUCCUGGGCCAACACUGACGCUCAUGCACGGAAGCGUGGGGAGCAAACAGG
rnacentral:rRNA from 1 species